GUUUGAUCCUGGCUCAGAUUGAACGCUGGCGGCAUGCCUAACACAUGCAAGUCGAACGCGAAAGUCACUUCGGUGGCGAGUAGAGUGGCGGACGGGUGAGUAACGCAUGGGAAUCUACCUUACAGUGGGGGACAACCCGAGGAAACUCGGGCUAAUACCGCAUACGACCUACGGGUGAAAGGGGGCUUCGGCUCUCGCUGUUGGAUGAGCCCAUGUCCGAUUAGCUGGUUGGUGAGGUAAAGGCUCACCAAGGCGACGAUCGGUAGCUGGUCUAAGUGGAUGAUCAGCCACACUGGGACUGAGACACGGCCCAGACUCCUACGGGAGGCAGCAGUGGGGAAUAUUGGACAAUGGGGGAAACCCUGAUCCAGCAAUGCCGCGUGUGUGAAGAAGGCCUGCGGGUUGUAAAGCACUUUCAGUGGGGAAGAAAAGCCGAGGGUUAAUACCCCUUGGUCUUGACGUUACCCACAGAAGAAGCACCGGCUAACUCCGUGCCAGCAGCCGCGGUAAUACGGAGGGUGCGAGCGUUAAUCGGAAUCACUGGGCGUAAAGCGCACGUAGGUGGUUGAGUAAGUCAGAUGUGAAAGCCCCCGGGUUCAACCUGGGAACUGCAUUUGAAACUGCUUGGCUAGAGUCCGAUAGAGGGGGGUGGAAUUCCAGGUGUAGCGGUGAAAUGCGUAGAUAUCUGGAGGAAUAUUAGUGGUGAAGGCGGCCCCCUGGAUCGAGACUGACGCUGAGGUGCGAAAGCGUGGGUAGUAAACAGGAUUAGAUACCCUGGUAGUCCACGCUGUAAACGAUGUCAACUAGCCGUUGGGUUUAUUUAAGGGUUUAGUGGCGCAGCUAACGCGAUAAGUUGACCGCCUGGGGAGUACGGCCGCAAGGUUAAAACUCAAAGGAAUUGACGGGGGCCCGCACAAGCGGUGGAGCAUGUGGUUUAAUUCGAUCAACGCGAAGAACCUUACCAGCCCUUGACAUCCUCGGAAUCCCAUGGAGAUGUGGGAGUGCCUUCGGGAGCCGAGUGACAGGUGCUGCAUGGCUGUCGUCAGCUCGUGUUGUGAGAUGUUGGGUUAAGUCCCGUAACGAGCGCAACCCUUGUCCUUAGUUGCCAGCGAGUAAAGUCGGGAACUCUAAGGAGACUGCCGGUGAUAAACCGGAGGAAGGUGGGGAUGACGUCAAGUCAUCAUGGCCCUUAUGGGCUGGGCUACACACGUGCUACAAUGGCCGGUACAGAGAGUUGCGAAGCGGUGACGUGGAGCCAAUCUCGCAAAACCGGUCGUAGUCCGGAUCGCAGUUUGUAACUCGACUGCGUGAAGUCGGAAUCGCUAGUAAUCGCGAAUUAGAAUGUCGCGGUGAAUACGUUCCCGGGCCUUGUAUACACCGCCCGUCACACCAUGGGAGUUGGUUGCACCAGAAGUAGGUAGCUUAACCUUCGGGAGGGCGCUUACCACGGUGUGGUCAAUGACUGGGGUGAAGUCGUAACAAGGUA
rnacentral:rRNA from 1 species